UACGUAGGAGGCGAGCGUUGUCCGGAAUUACUGGGCGUAAAGCGCGCGUAGGCGGGGCGCUGCGUCGGCGGUGAAAGCCCACGGCUCACCCGUGGGAGUGCCGCCGAUACGGGCGCUCUUGGAGGGCGGUAGGGGCCGGUGGAACGCCCGGAGUAGCGGUGAAAUGCGUUGAGAUCGGGCAGAACACCAGUGGCGAAGGCGGCCGGCUGGGCCGACCCUGACGCUGAGGCGCGAAAGCCAGGGGAGCGAACGGA
rnacentral:rRNA from 1 species